rnacentral:misc_RNA from 1 species
AACGCACAUUGCACCCUCUGGUAUUCCAGGGGGUAUGCCUGUUCGAGCGUCAUUACAACCCUCAAGCACUGCUUGGUAUUGGAUGUCACAAAUUGUGGUGCAUCUCAAAAGUAUUGGCAGUAGCAUUCAGCUUCUAGCGUAGUAAAUUUCUCGCUUUGGAGUUUCAAGUGUCUAAUUGCUAGAACCCCUAAUUUAUCAAAAGGUUGACCUCGGAUCAGGUAGGGAUACCCGCUGAACUUAA